AUACUUAACCUGGCAGGUGAGAUACCAUGAUCAUGAAGGUGGUUUUCUCAGGUGAUGCUUAUCCAUUGCACUCUGGAUGUGCUUACCCCUGUGAUUUCCCCAGUUGAGGAAUCUCGACUGUAUAAUUUGUGGUAUUGGGGGACUGCAUUCACACUCUCCCCUU